AAGGAAUGUCCAUCCCUGAAGCACAACCUCGCGUACAUGGUUAAGUGGACCAGACUAAGUCCGGAAGAAGAUUGAAAAUUUCAAACACAGGAGCGCCAAGUGAUUGAGUCAUUCAUCGCUAUGGACGUGAAUAGCUGACAAGGGCCACCUUGAUCAGAAUCGCUCAAUAAACCAGUCCUUCCAGAAAGACAAGCAAAUCCUGCCAGCAAAAUCAUAUUACAAAUAGACAGGACACAAGGCAUCCCAGACCACACAAGCAAGUAAAUGAUCAAUAUAGAGGUUUGAAUGAUUGAGCCAUACAAUAUGGGAAUACAUGCUACAUGCUAAACAAGUUAGACGGAUCAAAGUAAUGAUGGUCAAUAAAGACGGAAAAAUCAUGGCACGCAACAGACGAGUGACCGAGUAUAAUGAACUUUUUAUAGUCAUGGAUUAGUCAUGUGUUAAACAAGUUCUGUUCAUGGAUUAGUUAUUAUCAAGCCUGCUGUUCUUUCUAUAGUCAUGUGCUAUUUUUUCAAUUGAACACAUUGAAGUUCCUACAGAUUUUCAUGGUUUAUGCAAAAUAGCUGAGCCUGGUUGUUUUAUUCAUACAUAUUCAGGAU